rnacentral:lncRNA from 1 species
CCCUAGUUCUUCAUUCUGAAUCCUCCCAACCACCACCUCCGACCUCCCACAUCGUCCCACCACAUCUGAAUCCUCCAACCUCGCAAAACCCUUCAACAGCCACCACCACGACUCGCUUCUACCACCGGACGCCACCACCGCUGCACUCACCGCCGGAAAUCAACCCUUUUCUCCCACCGGCAGACACCACCGGAGUAACUUGCACCCAAAAUCCGAGUUGUAGGUGAUGCUCACUCUCGGCUUAACUCCGUUGAAUGUCUGUCGGUAAAAGAAAUUGAAAAGUUAAACUUAGUUAUCGUGGGGCUCGUUAAGGAAAAGGAUGAAGAAAAGAAAGAUUAAAUGGAAUUAUUGCGGGGUUGUUGGCUAAAAAAGAAAUAGACAAGGUUGAUAAAGAUGCUAUGCUCGAUAGGAUGUCACAAAUUGAAGCUAUGUUAACAAGUACAGUUCGAAGAUAGGCUAUAAACACUUGGUUCUUAAUGUUUCGAUGUUUAUCAUAUUAGGAUAAUUUUAGUUAUUUGAUGUUUUAGUUGACAUUUCUAUCCGAAUGUUUUAUAUGCUUUUCAAACAUAGAUGUUUUAUAUAAUUUUGGGUUU